UACGAAGGGGGGCUAGCGUUGCUCGGAAUCACUGGGCGUAAAGCGCACGUAGGCGGAUUGCUAAGUCAGGGGUGAAAUCCUGGAGCUCAACUCCAGAACUGCCUUUGAUACUGGCAACCUUGAGUCCGGGAGAGGUGAGUGGAACUGCGAGUGUAGAGGUGAAAUUCGUAGAUAUUCGCAAGAACACCAGUGGCGAAGGCGGCUCACUGGCCCGGUACUGACGCUGAGGUGCGAAAGCGUGGGGGAGCAAACAGG
rnacentral:rRNA from 1 species